GCACCUACCGAUUGGAUGGUUUAGUGAGGACUCCUGAUUGGCGCCGCCGCCCCGGCAACGGAGCAGCGGACUGCCGAAAAGUUGUUCAAACUUGAUCAUUUAGAGGAAGUAAAAGUCGUAACAAGGUUUCCGUAGGUGAACCUGCAGAAGGAUCAAGAUGGGAGAGGCGUCGUGUGGGGAAGGAGUGUAGUUCUCGGUGGUCGCGGCAUCAUUAAAAAAAAAAACACAAUAAACACCACAUCGAUUCGAGUGCUAAUAAGAAGUAUAUGCACGAAU
rnacentral:misc_RNA from 1 species